rnacentral:pre_miRNA from 1 species
UCACCAUGUCGCAGGACCGUGUCGCCAUCUCGGGUAACCAGAAGUCCCGUAUUGGCCACUAUGAGCUCCUGGACACCAUUGGCA